CAGUAGCCGCGGGAAUACGUAGGGUGCGAGCGUUAAUCGGAAUUACUAGGCGUAAAGCGUGCGCAGGCGGUUAUAUAAGACAGAUGUGAAAUCCCCGGGCUCAACCUGGGACCUGCAUUUGUGACUGUAUAGCAAGAGUACGGUAGAGGGGGAUGGAAUUCCGCGUGUAGCAGUGAAAUGCGUAGAUAUGUGGAGGAAUACCGAUGGCGAAGGCAGCCCCCUGGGAUAACACUGACGCUGAAGCACGAAAGCGUGGGGAGCAAACAGGAUUAGAUACCCCGGUAGUCCCUGUCUCUUAUAA
rnacentral:rRNA from 1 species